AUUGAACGCUGGCGGUAUGCUUAACACAUGCAAGUCGAACGGCAGCGGGGGAAAGCUUGCUUUCCUGCCGGCGAGUGGCGGACGGGUGAGUAACGCGUAGGAAUCUGCCCAAAAGUUGGGGACAACUCGGGGAAACUCGAGCUAAUACCGAAUAAGCUCUAUGGAGUAAAGCUGGGGACCAUUUGGCCUGGCGCUUUUGGAUGAGCCUGCGUUAGAUUAGCUAGUUGGUGGGGUAAAGGCCUACCAAGGCGACGAUCUAUAGCUGGUCUGAGAGGAUGAUCAGCCACACUGGGACUGAGACACGGCCCAG
rnacentral:rRNA from 1 species